CCCUUAGAUGUUCUGGGCUGCACGCGCGCUACACUGAAGCGUUCAACGAGUAUUCACCUUGCCCGGGAGGGUUGGGUAAUCUUUUGAAAACGCUUCGUGAUGGGGAUAGAUUAUUGCAAUUAUUAAUCUUCAACGAGGAAUUCCUAGUAAGCGCGAGUCAUCAGCUCGUGCUGAUUACGUCCCUGCCCUUUGUACACACCGCCCGUCUCUCCUACCGAUUGAGUGAUCCGGUGAAUAAUUCGGACUGCAGCACUGCUUGGUCUCCAGGCUUUGCAGCGGAAAGUUUAGUGAACCUUAUCACUUAGAGGAAGGAGAAGUCGUAACA
rnacentral:rRNA from 1 species